CAUAAUAAAAGGAAGACUCACUUCUGUUGUCUGUGUUAAAAUUGAAGAGUUGCAAUUAUUCCACGUUCGUUCAGUUCACUGAUGCGUAACUUAUGGUCAAAAAGUUAAGAAAUCGAUAAUAAUUGGACUUUUUGGUCGUGGAGUUUAAAUGUUAUUUAUGUAUUAUACCAUUAAAUUAUCGUUACUGACCCAUAGUUAAUCUAGUCCUUCGUACUACUGAUUUUUAAUAAAAUUUCUCUUGGGUGCGAUGUUGAUUUCAUAAUAACACCUGCUACUUAUGCAACCAAUUAAAAUUUUCAUGAUUUCCUAUAAAAAGACAAAUAUUUAUUUCAGAAACCAGUUUCCAAUUUUUGAGUUUUUUUUAAGAAAAGCAAGAAAUCAACGACGUUCCGACAUUGGACAAUCAAAUUGAGAUUUUCAGGACGAUCAAAGGGAUGAAAUGAAAAAGCAACUUUUCCCAUGUUUAAUUUCAUGCUCAUUGAUAAAGUUAUUUGAAAUCUCACAAUAAAUUUUGAUGGAAUGAUUUAUUUA